AGAUCAUGAGGGAGACUUUGAUAUAUUUGUCACAUCUUGAUCACGAGGACACGGAAAAGCUGAUGCUAAAGAAGCUAAGCAAACAAUUAAGUGGCGAGGAUUGGAAUUGGAACAACUUAAACACAUUAUGUUGGGCAAUAGGGUCUAUAUCUGGUUCGAUGAUGGAAGAACAGGAGAAUAGAUUUUUGGUUAUGGUCAUUCGUGACUUGCUGAAUUUAUGCGAAAUCAUGAAAGGGAAGGAUAACAAAGCUGUCAUCGCAAGUAACAUUAUGUAAGU